rnacentral:misc_RNA from 1 species
UUUCCGUAGGUGAACCUGCGGAAGGAUCAUUAACAAAUUCCAAAACGCGUCUUUUGACCACGCUCAACUUUUUCAUCCUAGAGAAAGAGGGAGAGAAAGGUAGGUGGGGGUCAAGUUACACAAAAGACACACACAAUCCUAACAACAAACAUUACAUUUAUAUUGACACAACUUAUGGAGAACCAAACGAAUAAUAAAUCGUUGAAACAACAAAACAACUUUUAACAAUGGAUCUCUCGGCUCUU